CAAAUUUGAAAUCUGGGUCUUUCAGGCUCCGAGUUGUAAUUUGUAGAAGAUGCUUCGGGUGCGGCUCCGGUCUAAGUUCCUUGGAACAGGACGUCAUAGAGGGUGAGAAUCCCGUAUGUGAUCGGUUGCUUGCGCCCAUGUGAAGCUCUUUCGACGAGUCGAGUUGUUUGGGAAUGCAGCUCCAAAUGGGUGGUAUAUUUCAUCUAAAGCUAAAUAUUGGCCAGAGACCGAUAGCGCACAAGUAGAGUGAUCGAAAGAUGAAAAGCACUUUGGAAAGAGAGUUAAACAGUACGUGAAAUUGUUGAAAGGGAAGCGCUUGCAACCAGACUUGCGUGUUGUCGAUCAUCCGGGGUUCUCCCCGGUGCACUCGGCUUCACUCAGGCCAGCAUCGGUUUCGGUGGUUGGAUAAAGGCCUUGGGAAUGUAGCUCCUCUCGGGGAGUGUUAUAGCCCUCGGUGCAAUGCAGCCUACUGGGACCGAGGACCGCGCUUCGGCUAGGAUGCUGGCGUAAUGGUUGUAAGCGACCCGUCUUGAAACACGGACCAAGGAGUCUAACAUCUAUGCGAGUGUUUGGGUGUCAAACCCAUACGCGUAAUGAAAGUGAACGGAGGUGAGAACCCUUAAGGGUGCAUCAUCGACCGAUCCUGAUGUCUUCGGAUGGAUUUGAGUAAGAGCAUAGCUGUUGGGACCCGAAAGAUGGUGAACUAUGCCUGAAUAGGGUGAAGCCAGAGGAAACUCUGGUGGAGGCUCGCAGCGGUUCUGACGUGCAAAUCGAUCG
rnacentral:rRNA from 1 species